UCCAGGCCCUACGGGGUGCAGCAGGCGCGAAACCUCCGCAAUGUGAGAAAUCGCGACGGGGGGAUCCCAAGUGCCAUUCUUAACGGGAUGGCUUUUCAUUAGUGUAAAGAGCUUUUGGAAUAAGAGCUGGGCAAGACCGGUGCCAGCCGCCGCGGUAACACCGGCAGCUCUAGUGGUAGCAGUUUUUAUUGGGCCUAAAGCGUCCGUAGCCGGUUUAAUAAGUCUCUGGUGAAAUCCUGCAGCUUAACUGUGGGAAUUGCUGGAGAUACUAUUAGACUUGAGAUCGGGAGAGGUUAGAGGUACUCCCAGGGUAGAGGUGAAAUUCUGUAAUCCUGGGAGGACCGCCUGUUGCGAAGGCGUCUGACUGGAACGAUUCUGACGGUGAGGGACGAAAGCUAGGGGCGCGAACCGGAUUAGAUACCCGGGUAGUCCUAGCUGUAAACGAUGCGGACUUGGUGUUGGGGUGGCUUUGAGCUGUCCCAGUGCCGAAGGGAAGCUGUUAAGUCCGCCGCCUGGGAAGUACGGUCGCAAGACUGGAACUUAAAGGAAUUGGCGGGGGAGCACCACAACGCGUGGAGCCUGCGGUUUAAUUGGAGUCAACGCCGG
rnacentral:rRNA from 1 species